CUAAAAUGGCUGAAAGACACAUAAGAAGAUGUUCAACAUCCUUAGCCAUCAGGGAAAUGCAAAUCAAAACAACUCUGAGAUACCAUCUUACUCCUGUCAGAAUGGCUAAAACCAAAAACACCAAUGACAGUUUAUGCUGGAGAGGAUGUGGAGAAAGGGAAACACUUCUCCACUGCUGGUGGGAGUGCCAACUCGUACAGCCACUUUGGAAAUCAGUAUGGCGAUUCCUCAGGAAAAUGUGAAUCAGUCUACCACAAGAUCCAACAAUUCCACUCUUAGUCAUAUACCCAAAAGAUGCACAAUCAUACAAGGACAUCUGUUCAAUGAUACAAUUUGUAAUAGCCAGAACCUGGAAACAACCUAGAUGUCCCUCAACUGAAGAAUGGAUAGAGAAAAAUGUGGUACAUUUACAAAAUGGAGUACUACGCAGCGGGGAAAAAUCAAUGGUAUCUUGAAAUUCUCAGGCAAAUGGAUGGAACUAGAAGAAACCAUUCUGCGUGAGGUAACCCAGUCACAAAAAGACAAACAUGUCCGUCUCCUAAAACCAUGGUACUGCCACUUUCAUGGUUCUUUUCACAUCACUCAAGACAACCAAGACAACCAUCCACAGACAUGUGCAGGCCAACCUUGUCUGGACAAUCUCUAAUUGAGACUUUCUCUCAAGGGAGAAGACAGCAGCUCACCUCCACUAGCUCUCUGCAUUCCAACCCUCUGCUCUCACAGGCCCAGCACUACCUAGUGGGUACCAGGCUGGCUGAGUGGCUGUUGGAGCUGGAUCAAAGUGAAAGAAAGAAGUCCCGUGAUUGCAGUUUGGUUACCACACCGACAGCAAUAGUUUGAAGCACUGAAAAUUGUCAUACAUCCUGGUCAUGGCACCCUCCAUCACCAGUUGGAUUUCUUUAGCCUUCUCCAGAGAUCUGGAUUUGCUUGUACUGGUCCAGCUCUUUGGUGAACAACUUCUCCAUGAUGACAACUGCCAGAACCCGCUGUGGCUGCUCCCAAGCCUCCUCUGGAAUCCUGGCCACCUGAAUAUGCAGCCACUACUCCCCAGGGUGCUUCCUGCAGUCCCUGGCAGCUGCUAGGUGCUGGCUCCAUCGAUCUGUGGUGCUGGGCCACAAGUUGCUGGGCCGCCUCCUCCACUUGCUAGCCCUGGCUCAGGGCUUGGCUUUCUGUUUAGUAUUAGUAUUUAAAGAACACUUAAGAUAUGUGUGGUGAAUACAUCUACACAGGACUGAAUUUUUUGUUCAAUUUGUUAUUCUUUAUUUGUAUGACAUAACAGCAUGUUCUGAAAACUUCUGCCCUCAUAGAACUAGUCUGUUCUGGUAGCCAUAAUAGAAAUAUUUACAAAGCCAUGAUACUUGGAAUACUUUGGCUACCACGAGGAGAGGAUGCAUAAAAUAUUUUUGCAUUUAAGAUUAGUGGUUUAGAAGAAUCAUUUUGUAUCUUUAUCAAUACCGUACAAGGUUGCAACUGAUGUAGACACUCAAAUUUUAAAGACCUUUGAGGGUUAAGUAAUAAAGAACUUUAAUAUUUUGAUAUAAUGAAAAA
ensembl:lncRNA